AUUGAACGCUGGCGGCAUGCCUUACACAUGCAAGUCGAACGGCAGCACGGGAGCAAUCCUGGUGGCGAGUGGCGAACGGGUGAGUAAUAUAUCGGAACGUGCCCAGUCGUGGGGGAUAACGUAGCGAAAGCUACGCUAAUACCGCAUACGAUCUAUGGAUGAAAGCGGGGGAUCGCAAGACCUCGCGCGAUUGGAGCGGCCGAUAUCAGAUUAGGUAGUUGGUGAGGUAAAGGCUCACCAAGCCGACGAUCUGUAGCUGGUCUGAGAGGACGACCAGCCACACUGGGACUGAGACACGGCCCAGACUCCUACGGGAGGCAGCAGUGGGGAAUUUUGGACAAUGGGCGCAAGCCUGAUCCGGCAAUGCCGCGUGCAGGAUGAAGGCCUCGGUUGUAACGU
rnacentral:rRNA from 1 species